rnacentral:misc_RNA from 1 species
GACGUAGGGGCCGAGCGUUGUCCGGAGUUACUGGGCGUAAAGGGCGCGUAGGCGGCCUGACAGGUCCGACGUGAAAGCCCCCGGCUCAACCGGGGAGGGUCGUCGGAAACCGUUGGGCUUGAGGCAGGGAGAGGCUGGUGGAAUUCCCGGAGUAGUGGUGAAAUGCGUAGAUAUCGGGAGGAACACCGGUGGCGGAGGCGGCCAGCUGGCCCUGACCUGACGCUGAGGCGCGAAGGCGUGGGGAGCGAACGGG